GGUGGAGUGAUUUGUCUGGUUAAUUCCGUUAACGAACGAGACCUUAACCUGCUAACUAGUUACUCUUAUGUAAAUAGGAGGCUAACUUCUUAGAGGGACUUUGUGUGCAAGCACAAGGAAGUUUGAGGCAAUAACAGGUCUGUGAUGCCCUUAGAUGUCCUGGGCCGCACGCGCGCUACACUGACAUAUGCAACAAGCUUUACUUUCCUGUCUCGGAAGAGUACGGGUAAUCUUGUAUAAUGUAUGUCGUGCUAGGGAUAGAUCUUUGGAAUUAUAGAUCUUGAACGAGGAAUUCCUAGUAAGCAUAAGUCAUCAGCUUGUGCUGAUUACGUCCCUGCCCUUUGUACACACCGCCCGUCGCUCCUACCGAUUUUGAGUGAUCCGGUGAACCUAAAGGACCGUAGUCGGGCUUGACCCGAUCGUGGGAAUAGAAGUAAACCUUAUCACUUAGAGGAAGGAGAAGUCGUAACAAGGUUUCCGUAGGUGAACCUGCGGAAGGAUCAUUAACACA
rnacentral:rRNA from 1 species